CCCACAUCAGCGUUCUGAUUGGUCGAGCUGAAACCCACCUGAGCCUGGCAUCGGUGGUGGAGGAGGAGGAGGAGGUGGGGCCGGCAUGCCUGGAGCUCCACCCAUCCCUGGUCCCAUGCUGUGGUUGUUUGAGAGUCUCCACUUAGCUUUCUUUGUCCUGAGGAAACAUCUGGCCUUACCUGGGGGACAGGUUAGGACAGGGUGGAGGUGAGGGGGAGGCAGAGUCUGCCACCCCCCCAUCCCCCUCCCCUCUCUGGGGUUGAGGAGCCCCAGGGCCUCCAGCCUGCUGCGCCUCCUGAGCCUGACGCUCCAGACGACUCUGACGCCGGAUCGUCUGGUCCUUCUCCCGAACCAUCCGCCGCAGGGUGUGCACCUGAGAGUUGGCGCUUGCAUACACCUCCUGCACAGGUUUUCACAUGGUUUCCAUGGUAACAGCACUGACCCGGAGUUGGUCCAACUCCUUGUUGGUUUGCAUCAGUUGUUUCUCCAGUUCAACGAUCUUCAGCAUCGCUUCGUUCUCCACAUCCAGCAGACGCUCUG